GAAAGAUAAGAAGCUUUGCUAUUUCAUGAAGAAAAUGGAUUGUCCUUCCACGACUUCUGAUUUUAUCCAACUCACAUAUUCUAAGAAAGGUUAAAAUUAAGGCCCUAUUAUCUUUACUUUGAUUUUGCUUUGUUUUUUUACCCCUUCAGACUUACAUUUUAAUUUUAUUUUUGAGUUAUGAGUUUUUAAUAAAAGCCUUACACACAAUUCAGAAAAUUCUGCUCAUUUAUUCUUUCAACAAAUGUGCAUCAUGCUCUAUGAAUUGUGAUAUCCUCUGGCAGGUCAUACACUCUGAUAGGUGCUACAGUAGAACAGCAGAGAAAACACAACCUCAGUUUAUGUUUUAGUGGAGAUAGUUAACACAAGAUAAACAAGUAGGUAUAUAAUUUGCUCGUGAUAAAUAUUAACAAGAAAUGUAAUAUUACACAGGUGAAGAAAAAUUAGGAAUAACACAACUGAAAAAUGUGAUGCUCUGGAGUAUAGCUGAGGAAAUUCUCAAUAAAGAUGGCUUUGAGUAUAGGUAAUGGGGGACAAAUCAUGUUGGUCUUUAUGAGUCACUGUAAAGUCUUUGCCUUCUAUUUGGGCAUGAUAGGAUGUUACUGGGGUGGUUUUGAACAGAAUGAUGAUAUAGAGUGGUACAUAUUUAAAGUAAAUAUUUCAGACUCUUAUGUUGAGAAUGUAUUUAAAGGUAAGGCUGGAGGCAGAAGACAAAUUUAGGAGGCUGACGUAAUAUACCAGGCAAGAGAUUAUAGUGACAUAAAUUGGAAUGGUAGCAGGGGAGGCAGUGAAAAAUAGUCAAACUCUGGAUAUAUUUUAAAGGUCAGGAAGACAAGAUUGACUGACAGGAAGGGUAGCAUAAGAGGAUGGGAGGGAAGUGGGAAAUGAACAAGUGGAAUUGAUGAAUCAAAGAUGACUCCUUGAUUUGUUUGCCUCACCGAUGGGGAAAUGGGGUUUCCAGUUCUGAGAUAAGGAAGAGCUGGGAAAGCAUUUAACAGAACCUUAAUUUGAAAUAUAUUCUAUAUGAAAUAUCUAUCAAAUUCUAAAUUCAGAUGCUAAGUAGAUAUAUGCAAUCGUCUGAAGGUCUGAGGAGGGAUCCAGUCAGAAAAUAAACUUGGGCAUUGACCAAUAAACACAUAAUUGUGAGAUCUUCAACAGAGUGAUGAUAAGGUGAGGAGAGACCCAUGAACAAACUUCACGUACUUGAAACUUCUAAGGCUGAGAAGAAAAAAAAGAAGGUGACAAAGAAGAAUGAGAUGGAGCUGGGAACCAACCUGGAGAAAAAUCAGAAGGCAAGUGAGGAAGUAUCAGUAGUCAUCAAACUCUAUCAAGUAAGGUGAUGACUGAGUCAAGGCUUUAAAAUAAUCUAAGAUGAGGCUUAGCGAUAGUGAGAUCACUGGGUUUGUUUUCUUUCCUUCUCUGGAGAUUACUGGAGAUUUAAUCAAUGGGCACUUAACCACUGAGAAACACCCUAGACCUUUUUUUUAUUCAUUUUUUAAAUUUUUGAGACGAGGACUGGCUAAGUUGCUGAAGCUGGCUUUGAACUUGAGAUCUUCCUGCCUCAGCCUCCUAAGCUUCUGGGAUUACAGGUGUGGGCACCAUGCCCAGCUAAGAUCACUAGUUAUUUAUUAAUUUUUUUGACAGUAGCUAAUGUGUUAGAGUGGUAAGGCAAACCCUACCUAUAUGUUCAGGAACGAAUGGAAAUACGUAACCUAGAAAUGGUGAUAUACCACUCUUUGAAGGAUUUUGGUUAAAAAUAACAGUAGAGAGAGGGAGAGAUUUCGAAUAAGGGAAUUAAAAUUUUUUAUUAGUUUAUUACAGAUAUACACAAUAUUAGAGUUCAUUUUGGCAUAAUUAUAUAAGCAUUGAAUAUGAUUUUCUGCAAUUUGGUCCUCUUUUCUUCUUUCUCUCCUCCCUCUUCCAUUCUUUCUUCUACUUGGCUGAUAUUUCUUUUAUUUAUUUAUAAUUUUAAAAAAUUAGUGCAUUAUGGAUGUACAUAAAGGUGAGAUUCAUUGUGGCAUAUUCAUGUAUGUAUUUAGGAAAGUCUGAUCAGAUUCAUUUCACCGUUCUUCCUUUUUCCUGCCUCUCUUCCCUCUACCUCAAGCAGAGAUUUUUCUCUGUGUAAGAUACGGAAAAUAUUAUGAUUGAAAUAUGUUAUUACAUUUUUUUAUAUUAGGAAGAAUAUUUUGGAGCAUAAUUUUUGAUUAUGGAAGAGUAAUAGUGAAGAGAAUUUGCAGAGAACACCCAGAGAAGAAAUGGUAUUUUGUAUUAAAGGCAGCUUUAAUGAGAAACAUAGAAAUACUGUUCCUACAGAGCUACAAUUUGACCCAGUUGUCCCAUUCUUCAGCAUAUAGAUCCAAAAGAAUUAAAAUCAGUAUACAACAGUAACACAGCUAUUCACAAUAGCUGAGUGACAGAACCAACCUAGAUGCCCAUCAAUAGAUGAAUGGAUAAAAAAAAUUGUGGUAUGUAUACAUAAUGGAAUAUUACUCAGUCACAAAGAAUAAUGGCUUUCUGACAUUUGCCAGUAAAAAG
rnacentral:lncRNA from 1 species